GCGCGCAAAUUACCCAAUCCUGACACGGGGAGGUAGUGACAAUAAAUAACAAUACCGGGCGCGUUAGUGUCUGGUAAUUGGAAUGAGUACAAUCUAAAUCCCUUAACGAGGAACCAUUGGAGGGCAAGUCUGGUGCCAG
rnacentral:rRNA from 1 species